CUUCAGAUUUUUCAGCGUGGUUUCUGUGCUUCAACUCAGAAGAGAGCUCUAGUUUCGGAAGUUCAAGGAAACACCAAGGGUGAUCCUGGAACAAGGCAGCAGGCACGCAAUUAUGUGUAAAAGGAAGAGGACACCGCUUGCUCACGCCAGACACCAGAAGAAGGUGAAGGUCCGAUUGAAGUGGCUGGAGAGGGAACUCAGAAAUUCUAACGUGUGCUGUCUUGUGAUGAAAGCUGAGUGAGAAGAGCAGGUGAAACUCUGCCCAAGAUCAGCAGCUUGAGCACUUCCCUGGCCUCGCGGAGAAGGAUGACUUUUAAUACGUUUGUGGCAUGUUGUAAAGCAGGAAGAGUCACCAGCCACACAGGGCCAGAUCUGGUGAAUGAGGUGGAUGAGGACACAGCGACACAUUUUUAUGAGCCUGCCCCUCCAUUGGAUGCUGUUUGGCAGCAGCCUUCAGUGUACUUUUGAUCAACUCACAAAACAAGACUUCCAGAACUGCUGCAGAAAGUGACUAGGAAGAGGGAAGAAGUGCGUUUGACACACGGGAUGGUGUUAAGGGGAAUUGAUACAAUGUGUCUUUUACUGUGAUAAAUAUUUAAAAUUUAAACAUUUAGAGCUGGGGAUUUAGCUCAGUGGUUCGGUGGCCUGCCCUGCAAGCGCAAGGACCCGAGUUCAAUGCCUGGUACCAAAAAAAACCCAAAAACAAACAAAAACAAAAUAAACAUUUAUAUUUUGCUCACAUGUAUAUUUCGU
rnacentral:lncRNA from 1 species